rnacentral:rRNA from 1 species
CUGGGCGUAAGCGCACGCAGGCGGUCUGUCAAGUCGGAUGUGAAAUCCCCGGGCUCAACCUGGGAACUGCAUUCGAAACUGGCAGGCUAGAGUCUUGUAGAGGGGGGUAGAAUUCCAGGUGUAGCGGUGAAAUGCGUAGAGAUCUGGAGGAAUACCGGUGGCGAAGGCGGCCCCCUGGACAAAGACUGACGCUCAGGUGCGAAAGCGUGGGGAGCAAACAGGAUUAGAUACCCUGGUAGUCCACGCCGUAAACGAUGUCGACUUGGAGGUUGUGCCCUUGAGGCGUGGCUUCCGGAGCUAACGCGUUAAGUCGACCGCCUGGGGAGUACGGCCGCAAGGUUAAAACUCAAAUGAAUUGACGGGGGCCCGCACAAGCGGUGGAGCAUGUGGUUUAAUUCGAUGCAACGCGAAGAACCUUACCUACUCUUGACAUCCAGAGGACUUUCCAGAGAUGGAUUGGUGCCUUCGGGAACUCUGAUACAGGUGCUGCAUGGCUGUCGUCAGCUCGUGUUGUGAAAUGUUGGGUUAAGUCCCGCAACGAGCGCAACCCUUAUCCUUUGUUGCCAGCGGUUA